AGAGUUUGAUCCUGGCUCAGGAUGAACGCUAGCUACAGGCUUAACACAUGCAAGUCGAGGGGCAUCAGGAAGAAAGCUUGCUUUCUUUGCUGGCGACCGGCGCACGGGUGAGUAACACGUAUCCAACCUGCCCUUUACUCGGGGAUAGCCUUUCGAAAGAAAGAUUAAUACCCGAUAGCAUAAUGAUUCCGCAUGGUUUCAUUAUUAAAGGAUUCCGGUAAAGGAUGGGGAUGCGUUCCAUUAGGUUGUUGGUGAGGUAACGGCUCACCAAGCCUUCGAUGGAUAGGGGUUCUGAGAGGAAGGUCCCCCACAUUGGAACUGAGACACGGUCCAAACUCCUACGGGAGGCAGCAGUGAGGAAUAUUGGUCAAUGGGCGAGAGCCUGAACCAGCCAAGUAGCGUGAAGGAUGACUGCCCUAUGGGUUGUAAACUUCUUUUAUAAAGGAAUAAAGUCGGGUAUGCAUACCCGUUUGCAUGUACUUUAUGAAUAAGGAUCGGCUAACUCCGUGCCAGCAGCCGCGGUAAUACGGAGGAUCCGAGCGUUAUCCGGAUUUAUUGGGUUUAAAGGGAGCGUAGGUGGACUGGUAAGUCAGUUGUGAAAGUUUGCGGCUCAACCGUAAAAUUGCAGUUGAUACUGUCAGUCUUGAGUACAGUAGAGGUGGGCGGAAUUCGUGGUGUAGCGGUGAAAUGCUUAGAUAUCACGAAGAACUCCGAUUGCGAAGGCAGCUCACUGGACUGCAACUGACACUGAUGCUCGAAAGUGUGGGUAUCAAACAGGAUUAGAUACCCUGGUAGUCCACACAGUAAACGAUGAAUACUCGCUGUUUGCGAUAUACAGUAAGCGGCCAAGCGAAAGCAUUAAGUAUUCCACCUGGGGAGUACGCCGGCAACGGUGAAACUCAAAGGAAUUGACGGGGGCCCGCACAAGCGGAGGAACAUGUGGUUUAAUUCGAUGAUACGCGAGGAACCUUACCCGGGCUUAAAUUGCAGUGGAAUGAUGUGGAAACAUGUCAGUGAGCAAUCACCGCUGUGAAGGUGCUGCAUGGUUGUCGUCAGCUCGUGCCGUGAGGUGUCGGCUUAAGUGCCAUAACGAGCGCAACCCUUAUCUUUAGUUACUAACAGGUUAUGCUGAGGACUCUAGAGAGACUGCCGUCGUAAGAUGUGAGGAAGGUGGGGAUGACGUCAAAUCAGCACGGCCCUUACGUCCGGGGCUACACACGUGUUACAAUGGGGGGUACAGAAGGCAGCUAGCGGGUGACCGUAUGCUAAUCCCAAAAUCCUCUCUCAGUUCGGAUCGAAGUCUGCAACCCGACUUCGUGAAGCUGGAUUCGCUAGUAAUCGCGCAUCAGCCACGGCGCGGUGAAUACGUUCCCGGGCCUUGUACACACCGCCCGUCAAGCCAUGGGAGCCGGGGGUACCUGAAGUACGUAACCGCAAGGAUCGUCCUAGGGUAAAACUGGUGACUGGGGCUAAGUCGUAACAAGGUAGCCGUACCGGAAGGUGCGGCUG
rnacentral:rRNA from 1 species